UACGAAGGGUGCAAGCGUUACUCGGAAUUACUGGGCGUAAAGGGUGCGUAGGUGGUUUGUUAAGUCCGUUGUGAAAUCCCUGGGCUCAACCUGGGAAUGGCAGUGGAUACUGGCAAGCUAGAGUGCGGUAGAGGGUAGUGGAAUUCCCGGUGUAGCAGUGAAAUGCGUAGAGAUCGGGAGGAACACCAGUGGCGAAGGCGGUUGCCUGGGGCUUUGCUGACGCUGAUGCGCGAAAGCGUGGGGAGCGAUCCGG
rnacentral:rRNA from 1 species